UGUGUGUUAGUGGAAGCGUCUGGAAAGGCGCGCGAUACAGGGUGACAGCCCCGUACACAAAAAUGCACAUGCUGUGAGCUCGAUGAGUAGGGCGGGACACGUGGUAUCCUGUCUGAAUAUGGGGGGACCAUCCUCCAAGGCUAAAUACUCCUGACUGACCGAUAGUGAACCAGUACCGUGAGGGAAAGGCGAAAAGAACCCCGGCGAGGGGAGUGAAAAAGAACCUGAAACCGUGUACGUACAAGCAGUGGGAGCACGCUUCGGCGUGUGACUGCGUACCUUUUGUAUAAUGGGUCAGCGACUUAUAUUCUGUAGCAAGGUUAACCGAAUAGGGGAGCCGAAGGGAAACCGAGUCUUAACUGGGCGUUAAGUUGCAGGGUAUAGACCCGAAACCCGGUGAUCUAGCCAUGGGCAGGUUGAAGG
rnacentral:rRNA from 1 species